UAAAGCCACAAGAAGAAGAUGAUGCAGGCUGCUGUGAAGCAUGUUUUUUUUUUUUUUCCCUCUCAUAGAUUCUCAUAGAGACUGCAAUGGCUGAAGUUAAAAAAAAAAAAAAAAAAAUCAUAAUUUGUGUUCUACUGAAGAAACAAAGUCACCUACAUCUUGGAUGCCCUGGGGCGGAAAUCUCCUAAUCUCCAGAGUUCCUCCAGCGCUCCUCCAACGAUCUCCUCUUCCAAGUCUUCCUCUCCUACGUCCCUCCCGAGUGUUUCCUUCCACAUGGAUUCCCUCACCGCAACGUUCACCUCCCUUGCCCACAAAGACCUUUCCCUAUUGGAGUAUAUGGUUGAGUUCAGCCAGCUCGCCAUUUUAAUGGUGUUCGAUGAAGCAGCGCUGAACUCACUGUUCUGGAUCUGGGAAAUUACUGUCGUCCCAUCGAC
ensembl:lncRNA